rnacentral:rRNA from 1 species
CUUAGGUCGGGGAUAAACCCGGGAAACUGGGUAUAAUACCCGAUAGAUCUCGACUGCUGGAAUGCAUCGAGAUCCAAAGCUCCGGCGCCUAAGGAUGGGUCUGCGGCCUAUCAGGUAGUAGUGGGUGUAGCGUACCUACUAGCCUACGACGGGUACGGGUUGUGAGAGCAAGAGCCCGGAGAUGGAUUCUGAGACACGAAUCCAGGCCCUACGGGGUGCAGCAGGCGCGAAAACUUUACAAUGCUGGAAACAGCGAUAAGGGGACCUCGAGUGCCAGGUUACAAAUCUGGCUGUCGUGAUGCCUAAAAAGCAUUGCAUAGCAAGGGCCGGGCAAGACCGGUGCCAGCCGCCGCGGUAACACCGGCGGCUCGAGUGGUAACCGUUAUUAUUGGGUCUAAAGGGUCUGUAGCCGGCCGGAUAAGUCUCUUGGGAAAUCCAGCAGCUCAACUGUUGGGCUUUCAGGAGAUACUGUCUGGCUCGAGGCCGGGAGAGGUGAGAGGUACUUCAGGGGUAGGGGUGAAAUCUUGUAAUCCUUGAAGGACCACCAGUGGCGAAGGCGUCUCACCAGAACGGACCUGACGGCAAGGGACGAAAGCUAGGGGCACGAACCGGAUUAGAUACCCGGGUAGUCCUAGCCGUAAACGAUACUCGCUAGGUGUCGGCCACGGUGCGACCGUUGUCGGUGCCGUAGGGAAGCCGUGAAGCGAGCCACCUGGGAAGUACGGCCGCAAGGCUGAAACUUAAAGGAAUUGGCGGGGGAGCACCACAACGGGUGGAGCUUGCGGUUUAAUUGGAUUCAACGCCGGAAAUCUUACCGGGACCGACAGCAAUAUGAAGGCCAGGCUGAAGACUUUGCCGGAUUAGCUGAGAGGUGGUGCAUGG